AAUAGAUGACGCCGUUGACUUUCUUUUUUCACAUGUUUGACCGUUUAUCUUAUUCAAAAAAUUUACGUAAUUAUAAUUUAUUUUGUUAUGAGUUGUUUUAUCACUUAUAAUAUUUUAAGUGUGAUUUAUAUCUUAUACAUUUGUAUAAAAUUUUUGAAUAAGACGAAUGAUCAAACGUGUGAGAAAAAGUCAACGGCGUCAUCUAUU
rnacentral:pre_miRNA from 1 species